AUUUCCCGCUUUCUCCUCUCCUUCCUCUUCUCAUGUUUCCCUAAAAUAUAUUUUCAUUUCCCCCUCUCUGGUUUCUAUGCUCUUCCCUCUCCUGUUUUCUGGGCGUGAAAUCAACACUCACAACACUCACAUAGCACACAUCGCACUCCCCCAAUGUCGCGUCGCCGCUUCUUCUCCCCCAUCGCCGCGCCUCUGCUGCUUCUCCCCCACCGUCGCGUCGCCGCUGCUUCUCCCCUAUCGUCGCAUCGCUGCUGCUGAUCCUCCACCGCUACGUCGCCGCUGCUACUCCCCUACCUCUGCGUUGCGGCUGUUGCUCCCCCACCGCCACGAAUUUUGGAAAGGAAAUUUCAAUUUGCGUUUCUCUAAACCCUAGAAAAUGUCGGGUGGCUUUUUCCAGGGAUUAUUCUAAAACUUAUGCUUGAUCGAAGUACUUUGAUGAAGCAAAUCCUUGGACUGAGAGGUGUGAUGUUGCAUUUCCUUGUGCUACACAAAACAAAAUAGAUCAAUUUGAUGCCAUUAGUUUGGUCAAUUCUGGUUGUCGUCUACUAGUUGAAGGUUCGAUCAUGCCUUGUACCCCCUGAAGUUGUUGAUGUCCUAAGGAAAUCUAGUGUUGUAGUUGCACCAGCCAUGGCUGCUAGUGCUGGGGGUUCACAGGAGGCUUCGGUGUGGAAACUAUGAGAGCAUUCGAUCACUUGAGAGACAACUGCAGAAUCACCAAGAAUCCGUACAACUGCUAAACCAAAUAGCAGUAACAAAACCACCAUUGUAUGGCAACCGCUAUCAGUCUGGGACAGACCUGAGUGAGACUGGAGUAAUCAACUUCGCCAAAUGAAGUUGACCCGGUUUGACCAGGAACCAACCCAGAGUUCUAACUACAACCCCAAUCCAACAGAACCAGCAACGUCCAAUGUGUGAACUAAGGUAACAUUGUAGCAAGCGUACCAUAAAUAAGCAACAUUCAGAACCGGCAGCAUUCAGAACCGGCAGCAUUCAGAACUGAGGCAACAUUCAGAACCGGCAGCAGAAUCACCAACAAUCUGUACAGCUGCUAAACCAAAUAGCAGUAACAGAACCACCACUACAUGGCAACCGCUAUCAGUCUGGGGUAGACCUGGGUGAGACUGGAGUAAUCAACUUCGCCAAAUGAAGUUGACCUGGUUUGACCAGGAACCAACCCAAAGUUCUAACUGCAACCCCAAUCCAACAGAACCAGCAACGUCCAAUGUGUGAACUGAGGCAACAUUAUAGCAAGCGUACCAGAAAUAAGCAGCCUGUAAACCUACCACCCUGCCUGCAUCCUCGAACAAAAACCCAGCUUGUCGCUCCGGCCUCCUUCCCCCCACCGCCGCCAAGCUUUACCUUCUUCCAGAUGGAACUAAUUCAGGACUCAGCAGUUUUCGCACAGUAAGGUUGCCUGAUAUGCGAUUGUCUAUGUUGUAUACAUUGUCGUGGCCUUAUAGCUGCUCUAAGAUAACUUGGCCACGCCUCGAUCUCUGCAAGUAUUCAAUAAUCCGAGGGAGCGGCCUUUCACCUUUGAGGAGAUAGAUGAAGUUCGAGAAAUGUUGGCAAACUUCAUUACCAGUGAUUGUCUUUGAUAUUUUCUUGUACUGAAUCUUAAAUUAUGGAUGCUAGUUAUUCAUAUGAUUGUAAUGUAAUCGACUUUUAUAUUUACAAUUAUAUACUAUUAAAUUUAAUUAUCUAUAUAAUUGGAUAAUUUUUAUAUGA